ACCGGCAGCUCGCUCUCUGCAACUUUCACAUGGUCGCCCACUGAAGCUAAGCAGGGCUGCGCCCCAGUCAGUACCUGGAUGGGAGACCACAUGGGAAAGCUAGGUUGCUGCCGGAA
rnacentral:rRNA from 1 species